rnacentral:pre_miRNA from 1 species
AGGAACCGCAGUGGAGGGGCUAGCUCUGGAGCCCUGGAGUCAGCUCCCGCAGUAACUCCGGAGCUCUCAGUCUGUAGGGCCUGGAGGCUCCAGGGCGGG